AUGGAGGAAUGGAAACCAAACAAUGUCCUCCUGGGGAAAGAGAUAAAGCCUGUCAGAUCAAAAACUUGGCAGUCCAGAAGAAGUAGUGUCCCAUUACCAGCAUCACAUCCGCUACACUGUCUGAUCCCUGCCUCAGCUUCAACCAGAUGAGGAAAAGGGAAUUGAAGCUUUUGGAUCCGAGCUAUUCUGAACCUUGAAACUCUGCAGGAAUAGGUGUAUCUUAGCAGUCCUUUCACAGGCCCAAGGACUGGAAAGCGGUGAAUGGAGAGGACAGACCGUGGAUCUUCAUCCAGCAUCAACAGAAGGGAAGCAUCAUUUGGGCAGGAGAGUGUCUGGAGGUUGGUGGGAUCAUCUGUGCUCUCCUUUGGUCACAGAAAGGUACAGUAUAUCUGGGUAUUAUUUAUACAUGUGUACAUACACUCACUUCCAAUACAGAGCACAGUCACCCAACAAGAGUAGCAGA